rnacentral:rRNA from 1 species
AUACGGAGGGGGCUAGCGUUGUUCGGAUUUACUGGGCGUAAAGCGCGCGUAGGCGGUUUUUCAAGUUGGGCGUGAAAUCCCGGGGCUCAACCCCGGAACUGCGUUCAAAACUGGAUUACUCGAGGCCGGGAGAGGGUAGUGGAAUUCCCAGUGUAGAGGUGAAAUUCGUAGAUAUUGGGAAGAACACCAGUGGCGAAGGCGGCUACCUGGACCGGAUCUGACGCUGAGGUGCGAAAGCGUGGGGAGCAAACAGGAUUAGAUACCCCGGUAGUCC